UGGGCAUAUGAAGGUGUUUGCUUCAAUCC
rnacentral:piRNA from 1 species